GACGAACCGAGCGAACGUUAUUCGGAAUCACUGGGCUUAAAGGGUGCGUAGGCGGGCCCGUUAGUCAGGGGUGAAAUCCCACGGCCCAACCGUGGAAGUGCCUCUGAUACUGCGGGCCUAGAGGGGAGCAGGGGCAUGCGGAACUUCCGGUGGAGCGGUGAAAUGCGUAGAUAUCGGAAGGAACACCGGUGGCGAAAGCGGCGUGCUGGAUUCCUACUGACGCUGAGGCACGAAAGCCAGGGGAGCGAACGGG
rnacentral:rRNA from 1 species